rnacentral:rRNA from 1 species
GACGAACGCUGGCGGCGUGCUUAACACAUGCAAGUCGAACGCUGAAGCUCAGCUUUUGUUGGGUGGAUGAGUGGCGAACGGGUGAGUAACACGUGAGUAACCUGCCUCCUUCUUUGGGAUAACGCCCGGAAACGGGUGCUAAUACUGGAUAUUCACUGGUCUUCGCAUGGGGGUUGGUGGAAAGGGUUUUUCUGGUGGGGGAUGGGCUCGCGGCCUAUCAGCUUGUUGGUGGGGUGAUGGCCUACCAAGGCUUUGACGGGUAGCCGGCCUGAGAGGGUGACCGGUCACAUUGGGACUGAGAUACGGCCCAGACUCUUACGGGAGGCAGCAGUGGGGAAUAUUGCACAAUGGGCGCAAGCCUGAUGCAGCGACGCCGCGUGAGGGAUGGAGGCCUUCGGGUUGUGAACCUCUUUCGCUCAUGGUCAAGCCGCAACAAUGGUUGUGGUGAGGGUAGUGGGUAAAGAAGCGCCGGCUAACUACGUG